AGAACGAACGCUGGCGGCAGGCUUAACACAUGCAAGUCGAACGCUCGUAGCAAUACGGGAGUGGCAGACGGGUGAGUAACGCGUGGGAACAUACCCUCCGGUUCGGAAUAGCUCAGGGAAACUUGGAUUAAUACCGGAUACGGCCGGGAGGCGAAAGAUUUAUCGCCGGAGGAUUGGCCCGCGUUCGAUUAGCUAGUUGGUGAGGUAAUGGCUCACCAAGGCGAUGAUCGAUAGCUGGUCUGAGAGGAUGAUCAGCCACAUUGGGACUGAGACACGGCCCAAACUCCUACGGGAGGCAGCAGUGGGGAAUAUUGGACAAUGGGCGCAAGCCUGAUCCAGCCAUGCCGCGUGAGUGAUGAAGGCCUUAGGGUUGUAAAGCUCUUUCGCUCGGGACGAUAAUGACGGUACCGAGAUAAGAGCCCCGGCUAACUUCGCGCCAGCAGCCGC
rnacentral:rRNA from 1 species